rnacentral:rRNA from 1 species
GAUGAACGCUGGCGGCGUGCCUAAUACAUGCAAGUCGAGCGAACAGACGAGGAGCUUGCUCCUCUGACGUUAGCGGCGGACGGGUGAGUAACACGUGGAUAACCUACCUAUAAGACUGGGAUAACUUCGGGAAACCGGAGCUAAUCCCGGAUAAUAUAUUGAACCGCAUGGUUCAAUAGUGAAAGACGGUUUUGCUGUCACUUAUAGAUGGAUCCGCGCCGCAUUAGCUAGUUGGUAAGGUAACGGCUUACCAAGGCAACGAUGCGUAGCCGACCUGAGAGGGUGGUCGGCCACACUGGAACUGAGACACGGUCCAGACUCCUACGGGAGGCAGCAGUAGGGAAUCUUACGCAAUGGGCGAAAGCCUGACGGAGCAACGCCGCGUGAGUGAUGAAGGUCUUCGGAUCGUAAAACUAUGUUAUUAGGGAAGAACAAAUGUGUAAGUAACUAUGCACGUCUUGACGGUACCUAAUCAGAAAGCCACGGCUAACUACGUG